UCACUGCAGACAUUCUGGCUUCAAACUGGUAAAGCAUGAGACUCUUCAUCUCAGGGCUGUGGGUUCAAGUUCCACGUUGGGUGAA